GGCCAGACUCCUACGGGAGGGAGCAGUGGGGAAUAUUGCACAAUGGGGGGAACCCUGAUGCAGCGACGCCGCGUGGGUGAAGGAGCACCUCGGUGCGUAAAGCCCUCUCGGCAGGGAAGAAACAGACGGUACCUGACUAAGAAGCCCCGGCUAACUACGUGCCAGCAGCCGCGGUAAUACGUAGGGGGCAAGCGUUAUCCGGAUUCACUGGGUGUAAAGGGAGCGUAGACGGCGACGCAAGUCUGGAGUGAAAGCCCGGGGCUCAACCCUGGGACUGCUCUGGAAACUGUAAAGCUGGAGUGCGGGAGGGGCAGGCGGAAUUCCUGGUGUAGCGGUGAAAUGCGUAGAUAUCAGGAGGAACACCGGCGGCGAAGGCGGCCUGCUGGACCGUAACUGACGUUGAGGCUCGAAAGCGUGGGGAGCAAACAGGAUUAGAUACCCCAGUAUC
rnacentral:rRNA from 1 species